UUUUUACGGAGAGUUUGAUCCUGGCUCAGGACGAACGCUGGCGGCGUGCUUAACACAUGCAAGUCGAACGAUGAAGCGGUGCUUGCACCGUGGAUUAGUGGCGAACGGGUGAGUAACACGUGAGUAACCUGCCCCUGACUUUGGGAUAACUACCGGAAACGGUGGCUAAUACUGGAUAUGACCUUGUGCCGCAUGGUGUGGGGUGGAAAGAUUUUU
rnacentral:rRNA from 1 species